GCUGACGAGUGGCGGACGGGUGAGUAAUGUCUGGGAAACUGCCUGAUGGAGGGGGAUAACUACUGGAAACGGUAGCUAAUACCGCAUAACGUCGCAAGACCAAAGAGGGGGACCCUCGGGCCUCUUGCCAUCGGAUGUGCCCAGAUGGGAUUAGCUUGUUGGUGGGGUAACGGCUCACCAAGGCGACGAUCCCUAGCUGGUCUGAGAGGAUGACCAGCCACACUGGAACUGAGACACGGUCCAGACUCCUACGGGAGGCAGCAGUGGGGAAUAUUGCACAAUGGGCGCAAGCCUGAUGCAGCCAUGCCGCGUGUAUGAAGAAGGCCUUCGGGUUGUAAAGUACUUUCAGCGGGGAGGAAGGGAGUAAAGUUAAUACCUUUGCUCAUUGACGUUACCCGCAGAAGAAGCACCGGCUAACUCCGUGCCAGCAGCCGCGGUAAUACGGAGGGUGCAAGCGUUAAUCGGAAUUACUGGGCGUAAAGCGCACGCAGGCGGUUUGUUAAGUCAGAUGUGAAAUCCCCGGGCUCAACCUGGGAACUGCAUCUGAUACUGGCAAGCUUGAGUCUCGUAGAGGGGGGUAGAAUUCCAGGUGUAGCGGUGAAAUGCGUAGAGAUCUGGAGGAAUACCGGUGGCGAAGGCGGCCCCCUGGACGAAGACUGACGCUCAGGUGCGAAAGCGUGGGGAGCAAACAGGAUUAGAUACCCUGGUAGUCCACGCCGUAAACGAUGUCGACUUGGAGGUUGUGCCCUUGAGGCGUGGCUUCCGGAGCUAACGCGUUAAGUCGACCGCCUGGGGAGUACGGCCGCAAGGUUAAAACUCAAAUGAAUUGACGGGGGCCCGCACAAGCGGUGGAGCAUGUGGUUUAAUUCGAUGCAACGCGAAGAACCUUACCUGGUCUUGACAUCCACGGAAGUUUUCAGAGAUGAGAAUGUGCCUUCGGGAGCCGUGAGACAGGUGCUGCAUGGCUGUCGUCAGCUCGUGUUGUGAAAUGU
rnacentral:rRNA from 1 species